GCUGCACUCACAAGAGACUGCCAGUGAUAUGCUGGAGGAAGGUGGGGAUGACGUCAAGUCCGCAUGGCCCUUAUGGGCUGGGCCACACACGUGCUACAAUGGCAAUGACAAUGGGAAGCAAGGCCGUAAGGCGGAGCGAAUCCGGAAAGAUUGCCUCAGUUCGGAUUGUUCUCUGCAACUCGAGAACAUGAAGUUGGAAUCGCU
rnacentral:rRNA from 14 species